CGAGAAGAGCACAUCAUCCAUCACUCCGUUCAAAUGUUCGUCCACUGACUGCUGGUGAUCGUCGACGCUGCUGUGGUGGCCGUGGUUUGUUCAAUUCAUAUGAUGAGAUGUGCUUCCGUAAAUUGCCUGUUUCCGUCUGCCAAAAUAUAUGUUGUACACAAACGUUUGAAGGAAAUGCCGACAUGCUUCUUUAGUGAUCGUUUGCAUGUAUCCGUAGUAUGUAGUCUAUAUUAGACUUGGAAGCUUUUACAAAUUGGUGCAUUUACUUAAACAGCAAUUGACAGAUUUUAGUAUAGAUCUUGAUCGAAGCAACGAAAAUUGUAUUAAAUUGAACUUGUGUUAAAAAUAGAUUAUCACUAUGUGAGCACAGUUUUUGAUCGACAUUAUCGCAUUUUUUUCAUUAACCUUCUCGAGCAGUCGCGUCUUCGGGCACCCUCAGCGACACCGCGCACACGUUGUGUACCACGAGCGAGCUUUUUUCAUGGUGCGUGUACUAGUUUAUUAUACUUAAGUGGCCAUGCAAUAUCAGGAAACCACUCCGGGGAUAUUCCGGAUUGUGUUGGGGUCAGGGGGUCGCCAAAAUGGCUAAAAGUGAUUAUUUCGUGUGUUAUUGUGUUUGAACCAACGAUUUUCUGCGAAAUUUUUGAUACGAACAGUGAGACACAACUGCGAUAACUAGAUUUCAAUAAGUUGACCCAUCCAGAUCCCCGUGACCGGUUCCGCGGGGCCUCAUUUGGGACACUUCUGGUUUUCAACUCAAACAUGCCGUGCAACAUAUCUAUCUUCAUGAUUUCGAAUGAGGAGUCAGAAACGAUAGACUGGAGUCUGUAUCAACUAAUUUGGCCACCUCGGAGCAUCUAGCACAGGUUCCACGGGGUGUCAUCGGGGACAUUUCUGGUUUCGAGAGAAUGGGGCAGAAAAAAAAAUGACUGAAGUAUAGUUCAACUGAUGUGGCCGCUGUGGAACUUCUGGAACAGGUCCCGCAGAGGCCUCUUAAACACAAUACCACACAAAAUAACCACUUUUAGCUAUUCGACAAAACAGACAACUUCCCCACCCCCUGACCCCAGUACAAUCCGGAAUAUGACAACUUAAAAGACACGGACACGUUCUAUGCUUCCAGUGAGCUUUUGGCUCUUUGAAGGAAGCACGACACUAGACAACGGACUAGCAUGCAACGCCCAGUGGCACAGCCGAAAACUUUUCCUGACAGCUGCGGCGGGAAUCGAACCCGCGCUCCUCAGCACGAUGCGACUAAGAGCUUGGUGACCCUAGCCACACGACCACGGAGCCGCACUUGAGUAUAAUAAACUUGCAACAACUUAUGAUCGAUUGAGGGCGGCUUCAAAAAAAAUCGGAUGAAAAUUGACGAAAUGCCAGCAUUUUGAAAAUGAGUUGUCGGUGGUCGGAUACGUGAAGGUUAAAAAAAGUCUUCUGCAGUAAAACCUGAAAGUUUUCUGAAAUUCAACAUUGAUUUCAUUGAAGAUCUCCGUUGAGAUUCUCUACACGUCGCCAUUACAGGUUAUCCCUAUAUAAACAGAUUUAGAAACACGUGUUAGUUUAGAGAAAACGUGAAUUCAGCCACUUUGUGCUCGUUGCCGAUCAGUUCAAAUUCUACUCAACCCGUCAAUCCAUCACCGAACGGAGGCGGAUGAAUGACGCAGCACGUCACGUCACAUCAACCAGCACAUCUGCUCCCACUAGCACCAGAGCUGAGCAGCUCUGUUUCGGGAUCCGCAUUACAGCUCAGUUGUUAUUGUCUAUUUUUUAAACCAACUUGUGAACAGUCAUCUUACCUUGAAAGGCCAACCAACUGGCCCGAACUGGACCGACCGAACGGCCGUGGCGUCGCGGCGUCGUCGUCGGUCGAUCAUCGCCUGCCAUAAAAUCUAUCUCUUCCCUCCCUCCCAUCAUACUGUGAUGUGGGUGGAAAUUGAUUGGCUCGGUCGUCUUGCGGUGGAGUGAGAAUAGUCCGCCUCGGUUGAUGCCCACAUAGAGAUUCAGAAUUGAUUGAAAACCCGUUUAGGUUAUGUCGUCAUAUUGUCGGAGAAGUUUAACGGAGCUAACAAAAGGUUAAAAGGAUAUGUUUGAAACGUUUAAGGCUCAAGCAUCCGUCAUCAUUUUUCGGAAAAUAAAAAGCAGUUUUCUCGCCGCAAAUCAAAUCUAGGAUCAUGAAAAUAUAUUCACUGCAUUAUAUUCCUCAUGUGGAGUACAGUGAAUAAUGUUUUGAACGAAAAAACUGUUUUCAAAUGUUUGAUGAUGACGAUGAUUUCAAUGACGAAAAGUUCAACGUUAAAUUUGUGAGGUUCGACCUAUUACCUCUAAGAAGGAUGACAUUCCUUACCUUGUGACGCUUGUGACCGAACAAUGCGCUACUCCGUGAUUGCUCCAAAUUUUGAAAAUCUGAUGCUUGUGAUCUAGUAUCUUGUGAUUUGCUCGAUACUAAUGAUGCCCAUGACGACGUCUUGUACGUUCUUACAAUUACUAGAAAAAGGAAUAAUCAUUCGACAAACAUUGGCACUAGAGAUCGGGGAAUCUUCUGCACCUCCACAGGUGUCCCGGGGAACAAUAUUUGUAAGUAAAGUGGGGUAGACAUCUUGGCAGUAAACUAACAUAAAUUUUACAAUUCUGCUCUCAUUUUCUUUUUUGACCAGGGUGCUUCUAGUAGUCCAGGUUCUUGAUUUUUGCCUGGUGCCAGAACCCCAGUCGUUGCGCAUCGUACAUAAUGCAAUAGAGUUCAAUUACUUCUUAAUUCUAAUCAAGAUGCAUAGCAGCUAGAAUUGAUUCAGAAAUGUAAAAGUACCGAGAGUUGAAUUCCUUCCCGGGUUGUUGGCACCGAACGAAAUAGAAAACACCAACCAAGAUCGU